CCUACGGGAGGCAGCAGUGAGGAAUAUUGGUCAAUGGGCGUAAGCCUGAACCAGCCAAGUCGCGUGAGGGAUGAAGGUUCUAGGGAUCGUAAACCUCUUUUAUAGGGGAGUAAAUUACGGGACGUGUCCCGUUUUGUCUGUACCUUAUGAAUAAGGAUCGGCUAACUCCGUGCCAGCAGCCGCGGUAAUACGGAGGAUCCGAGCGUUAUCCGGAUUUAUUGGGUUUAAAGGGUGCGUAGGCGGCCUUUUAAGUCAGCGGUGAAAGUCUGUGGCUCAACCAUAGAAUUGCCGUUGAAACUGGGAGGCUUGAGUAUGGUGGAGGCAGGUGGAAUGCGUGGUGUAGCGGUGAAAUGCGUAGAUAUCAAGCAGAACCCUGAUUGCGAAGGCAGCCUGCUAAGCCAUGACUGACGCUGAUGCACGAAAGCGUGGGGAUCAAACAGGAUUAGAUACCCGUGUAGUC
rnacentral:rRNA from 1 species